CGACGAUUACUCCUACGGGAGGCAGCAGUGGGGAAUUUUGGACAAUGGGCGAAAGCCUGAUCCAGCAAUGCCGCGUGUGUGAAGAAGGCCUUCGGGUUGUAAAGCACUUUUGUCCGGAAAGAAAUGGCUCUGGUUAAUACCUGGGGUCGAUGACGGUACCGGAAGAAUAAGGACCGGCUAACUACGUGCCAGCAGCCGCGGUAA
rnacentral:rRNA from 1 species